GACAGAGGUGCCAAGCGUUAGGCGGAAUCACUGGGCUUAAAGCGUGUGUAGGCGGAUGCCUAAGUACCUUGUGAAAUCCCACGGCUCAACCGUGGAACUGCUGGGUAUACUGGGUGUCUUGGGUCAGCUAGGGGUUGCCGGAACAAAUGGUGGAGCGGUGAAAUGCGUAGAUAUCAUUUGGAACGCCAAUGGUGAAAACAGGUAGCUGGGGCUGUGCUGACACUGAGACACGAAAGCCAGGGGAGCAAACGGG
rnacentral:rRNA from 1 species